CAGCCGCCGCGGGAAUACGUAGGUCCCGAGCGUUGUCCGGAUUUAUUGGGCGUAAAGCGAGCGCAGGCGGUUAGAUAAGUCUGAAGUUAAAGGCUGUGGCUUAACCAUAGUACGCUUUGGAAACUGUUUAACUUGAGUGCAAGAGGGGAGAGUGGAAUUCCAUGUGUAGCGGUGAAAUGCGUAGAUAUAUGGAGGAACACCGGUGGCGAAAGUGGCUCUCUGGCUUGUAACUGACGCUGAGGCUCGAAAGCGUGGGGCGCAGACAGGAUUAGAUACCCGCGUAGUCCCUGUCUCUUAUACA
rnacentral:rRNA from 1 species